rnacentral:rRNA from 1 species
GGCGAUCAGAUACCGCCCUAGUUCUAACCGUAAACGAUGCCAACUAGCGAUCUGUCGGUGUUAAAAUUUGACUCGACAGGCAGCUUCCGGGAAACCAAAGUUUUCUGGUUCCGGGGGAAGUAUGGUUGCAAAGCUUAAACUUAAAGGAAUUGACGGAAGGGCACCACCAGGAGUGGAGCCUGCGGCUUAAUUUGACUCAACACGGGGAAUCUCACCCGGCCAGGACACGAUAAGGAUUGACAGAUUGAUAGCUCUUUCUUGAUUUUGUGGGUGGUGGUGCAUGGCCGUUCUUAGUUGGUGGAGCGAUUUGUCUGGUUAAUUCCGAUAACGAACGAGACUCUAGCCUAUUAAAUAGACGCAAUAUUUUUUGUAUAGCGAGCUUCUUAGAGGGACAAGCAGCUUCUUAGCUGCACGAGAUUGAGCAAUAACAGGUCUGUGAUGCCCUUAGAUGUCCGGGGCUGCACGCGCGCUACAAUGAAAGUAGCAAUGCGCAUAUUAACCGUUUCUGGUAAGAAUUGGUAAACGCGAAAUAUUUUCGUGCUUGGGAUAGGGGAUUGAAAUUAUUGCCCUUGAACGAGGAAUUCCCAGUAAGUUCGAGUCAUCAGCUUGAGCUGAUUACGUCCCUGCCCUUUGUA